rnacentral:rRNA from 1 species
GAUGAACGCUGGCGGCGUGCCUAAUACAUGCAAGUCGAGCGAACAGACGAGGAGCUUGCUCCUCUGACGUUAGCGGCGGACGGGUGAGUAACACGUGGAUAACCUACCUAUAAGACUGGGAUAACUUCGGGAAACCGGAGCUAAUACCGGAUAAUAUAUUGAACCGCAUGUUUCAAUAGUGAAAGACGGUUUUGCUGUCACUUAUAGAUGUAUCCGCGCCGCAUUAGCUAGUUGGUAAGGUAACGGCUUACCAAGGCAACGAUGCGUAGCCGACCUGAGAGGGUGAUCGGCCACACUGGAACUGAGACACGGUCCAGACUCCUACGGGAGGCAGCAGUAGGGAAUCUUCCGCAAUGGGCGAAAGCUUGACGGAGCAACGCCGCGUGAGUGAUGAAGGUCUUCGGAUCGUAAAACUCUGUUAUUAGGGAAGAACAAAUGUGUAAGUAACUAUGCACGUCUUGACGGUACCUAAUCAGAAAGCCACGGCUAAAUACGUG